UCAAAUAGAUGAGUUGGAGAUGGGAAGUACAGUUGGGGAUUACAGUCAGUAAUACCGUAAUAACCUUGUGUGGGGACAGAGGGUGGCAGGGCCCGAUGCCGUGAACACAUGGUUACGUGUGGACUUGUAGAAUCAUGAUUUUCUACACCAGAUGCUGCUGUCGUUUGUCACCUACGCUUCUGGAGCUGCGACGAGGGGUGGAAAAGACGACAUAAGUUUUCUGGGCCUCCAGAUUUCGAGUCCUUCCUUCACACUGACCGCUGCCUGUCUGCCUGCCAUCCGUGCCUCACCCCUUCUGAUGCCUGGAGCCCACACUGCUUUCAGGCCCUCUACCCUCAGAAAAUGUACUACGUGGAAGGGUCGACUGUCAGUCAUUUACACUUUAGUGCGAAUUUAGGGGCUAUUUGCCUUUUAAGUCAACUUAUUGGAAAAAAAAAAAGCAAACAAUUUGUUAGAAAAAUGAAGGCUUUCUUCUGUAGAAGAGGUGUUUGGGAUUAAGAAGAUGGAGGAAAUUAAGUUCUGGACAGACGAUCCAGAGCAUGGUGGGUCUCCCUAUUUCCGUCUUGGGCAGCAACCUCGUCUGAUGAUCUGAUAUGCUGUCCCCCAGCAGCGACAGCAAGUUGUACUGUUGUAGUUUGCUUUUGCAUCUUAGCCCCAAAGAACUGAAACUGCAAGAUUUAGUCUGUUUUCUGUUUAAUUAAAAAAAAAAAAAGGGUCCAGGCAGCUGGGAUGGGCAUAGGUGGCAGGGAAAGCCGGACAUGUGGAUGUGUGCCUGAAUUUGGAGGCGGAGUGGGAGUUUGCUAACAGGGACGUGAUCUGGGGUAGGAAACAAGGUCACCGAGCCUGGAAGCAUACCCCGCGUGGCACACGGCUAAUCUGCUUCAUAGCAGCCAAGGAACGCGUCCUGUGCCUCACGCAUUUUAACUCUGUGAUCAGGAUGGAGGUCUACACACGUGAGCCGGUUAGCAGGGUGAUUGUUGGGGUCGUUGUGGUGAAGCGCAAACAACAUUGCACUCGACAUUGUGCUGAGUGGGCCCGACUUUCGGCUUUGCCACUUCCUACUCGUGCAACUCCUCACAGCUCUUCUGUUGUCGUGAGUUCCGCACGUUGGACACCUCGCACGGCCUCAGGACGAUUAGAGGAGACGCUGUAGGUGACAACCUGUGGACACCCUCCAGGGCGGUGUCCUCUUUGGGGGAUGAAUGCGGUGGCCGCGCUUCCAUCCUGCGAACCGAGGUCGCAGUGUCGAAAAGCUCUUCUUUCCAGAAAGAGAAGUGUUUACGGUUAAGCCACCGAGUGACGAAAUAACUUCCAUGCAGUUUCUGUCCGUGUCAGAGUCUGGUGCAACCCAGAGGACAUGUGGUAACUCCUUGCGCAGAGCGCAAGUGGUUCGGAUAGAAAUCACUCCAAUCAUCGUGAAUGACCCCCUGUGCCGAGCCAGCGGUCUUUGCCGUCGGCGGAGGUAAAGACAAGAAAAAAUCUUUGCUGCAAAGAGGAUUGAGAACAUAUGACAAGAGAGGGGACCAUCGCACCUCCAGGGCCGAAAAGAACGAACAGUCACAUCCUACUGGGGAGCUCAGCAAAGCCCAGGAGCCUAUUAAGACAAGCAAGUUGCAGUGGUGGUUGGAACCCAGCGGUGGAGGGACAGGACUGAGCAUCAACUGGCCGCUGAGAAUCGCCGCCGUCGGUUCCUGAGCGAGUCAGUGCAGGACGAGGAGACACAGCGCUGGGGGGCAGGCUGGAUGGGGAGGAAGGACGUGGAGGAGGCCGGAGCCGGCCUGGCCUGUGGCUGCGGUUUCUGAUUUCCUUUUUCCGGAGCGGAGUCUCUCCUGAAGCUUCUCCCGUCCGGUGUCCAGCCUCCCGCCCGGCUAUCCCGCGAGAUGACGUCACCUGUGACGUCCGUCACCCCAGGCCCCUGGGAACCGCCCCGCGGUGUCCGCGGACGUGCCCGCGUUUCUGCAGCAGCACGCACCCUGCCACACGGCCUGUCCCUGUCUGCCAGCAGCGGGUGUCCCCUGAGGCGGAAAACUAACCCCCCCCCCCCCCCCCCCCCCCCGAGCUCCUGUCCUCGCGGUCAGCCUUCCUCGGGGGCUGGGGCCUGCUCUGAGCGCCCCCUGCUCGUUGCGCCCUCACACACCGCGCCCCUGCUUCCGUUCGCCCCCUUCCGUGCACCCUCACACCAUCACACGGCGCCCCUGCCCUCCACCCCCCUAGCCCAUCCCCGCCUGGGUCGAGGGGAACCCCUCUGGACUAGCUCUGCCUCCCACCUGCAAAGUCCCCACUAGGCUCUGUUCUCGUCUGGGUCAAUGAAUCUCAACUCAUUUUUUCGGCCCAAAAUACCAGAAAAACACAGCCUACCCCCCGACGGCUGGUGUGUCCCGGGCAGUGCCCCAGCUUCCUCUGGCUGCUUUAACAAGUUUACCACGAGCUCGGUGCCCUUGAAACAAGACGACGGAUCAUCUCACCGUUCUGUGGUCACAGAUCUGCUGACGACGGAUCAUCUCACCGUUCUGUGUCACAGAUCUGCUGACGACGGAUCAUCUCACCGUUCUGUGGUCACAGAUCUGCUGGGGGUCUCUCCGGGCUACAACCCAGCUGUGAGCAGGGCUCCGGUCCCUUCUGGAGGCUCCAGAGGAGCUGUUCCCAGCUUCCGGAGCGGCCUGCACGCCUUGGCCGUGGCCCCUUGCUGCGGCUGCAAAGCCAGCCAACCUGCUUCUCCCCACCCCUUCUCCCUGCCUCACCUCCUGCCCCGACCAGCAAGGGUUCCUCCACUUUAAGGAUUUGCGCGAUUGGAUUGAGGCCACCUGGACAACCCAGGCCGUUCCCCCAUGUCAAGGUCCUCAACCUUAUUCACACCUGUAAACUCUGCUCAGCCACGUAAGCAAACGUGUUCACAGAUUUCAGGGAUUAGGCAUCCCGGAAUUGGGCGUUUGGGGGCCCUUGUCCGCCUCCCGCAGGCCAUCGUUUCAGCGGGAAACAUUUUCAGCGGGAGGUGGUUAGUAACUGUGUGGAGUGAUUGCGCCUGAGGAUCUGUGGGUUGGCAUGGGGUUUGAGAAGAUUAUGUCCUAAAAUCCCAGGACCACCUGCGUCCACCCUGGCCCUCCGUUUGACUUUGGAUAGGAAGACUGUGUCACGUAAAUGUCUACUGGACAAACGUUAUAGGCCAGGUGUUGUCCUCAGAGCCUUUGCAAAGUCACUUCCAUGUAAACAGGUUAAGCGAGUGAUUCAAGGUCACCCAGCUAACAGGUAAAUGGAGUUGGGGGCCCAGGUUUGGUUUUAUAACGCCACCUCCGAAGCUAUUUCUGUUGGAGCCCAGCGAAGUCACGGACCAGAGUUGACCUGUCAUCUCAGGAUUGUUUAAAUGUUGUCCUGAGGUCACCAUGGGGACUUUCUGGCUCUUUCUUCUCCCCAGUUCUGCGAGUGUGAUUGCCUAGGGCGAGGGGGUGGAGCCCGAACUGAAGAGCCUGGUGUCCUCACAGGCGGCCAGUCUCUCUUUUGCAGGUGGGGCCAAGGUCUGGAGGCCUGGGUUUGACCUUUCACCACCCCCCACCUCCAUUCACCUGACUCUGGGCAGGUUCCUCAGUCUCUGUGCCUCGGUUUCACAUCCCUGAUGAGCCACUUACUGCCGCGGGGUCCCAUCCCGAAGCCUGGGUCUCCUCAGUGGUGCCCCCGUGGCCGGAAGGCUGUAAGACUCCAGGCAGGUGCAGGUGUCACGGGAGGCGCUCAGCCCACCGCCCGGCACCCAGAGCGAGAGUGACCGUUUUCCGUCAGUCGUGUAAGAGACGAUCUCCCAGGACAGCCGUGCGUCCUAGAGGCAGCGGAUGGAAAGCAGGUCAUAAACUGAAGUUCACAGGACUCACAAAAAAUCGUUGAAAAUAUUCUAGUAAUACAGGACUACACAUGUUUCUGUGAAAAGCAAUUUCAAAACACUCCUAAGCACGACAGGUCAUGUGACCCUCCUAAGCCUCCGCCAGAGGUGACGGCUGUCAACGCGCGUUCUCUCCACGCAGGGAGUUUUCUGUGUGUUCGUGGCACAUACGGGAGCUUGCCAUGAGUUACGGGAGAGCUUCCAGGACUCCGGUGUAUCCAGUGUAAAAUGCCAGACAACCCGGAGCUGGGCUCGUG